rnacentral:tRNA from 1 species
UCGUGGCGCAACGGAUAGCGCGUCGGUUUUCGGCGCCGAAGGUUGCAGGUUCGAGUCCUGCCGA